rnacentral:rRNA from 1 species
CAAAAACAUGUUUGUUUGUAGUUAUAGAUGAUUUAGCCUGCCCCCUGAUAAAUUAAUUAAAGGGCCGCAGUAUUUUAACUGUGCAAAGGUAGCAUAAUCAUUAGGUUUUUAAUUGGAAUCUUGUAUGAAUGGCUGGACAAAAGAAAAUCUCUCUUUGUAUUAAAUUUUGAAUUUAACUUUUAAGUGAAAAGGCUUAAAUACUUCAAGGGGACGAUAAGACCCUAUAAAACUUUACAUUGUAGUCGAGAUUUAAUUUGAUUUAAAAAUAAGAGUUUAAUUAGAUUAUUUGUUAUGUUGGGGAGACACAGGUAAAAUUUUUUUAUUUUAACUGCUUUAGAAGUUUAACAAUUAUUAUUGGAGUGUAACAGGUCCUUUUUAAAGAUUAAUAAGUUAAGUUACUUUAGGGAUAACAGCGUAAUUUCUUUUAAGAGUUCUUAUCGAAAAAGAAGAUUGCGACCUCGAUGUUGAAUUAAAAUAUCUAUAUAAUGGAGAAGUUAUAUAAGAAGGUCUGUUCGACCUUUAAAUUUUUACAUGAUUUGAGUUCAAACCGGCGUGAGCCAGGUUGAUUUCCUAUCUCUAA